CUCUCUGGCCCCACAGCAGAGGCCAGCCUAACAGCUAGCCCCACUUUCUCCCAUUGUCAGGGCACCACCCUUGCAUGGAAAGUUGGAUUUCAUUCUGUCUCGGUGCCAGCUCCAGCUGGAGUGCCUUCCUGCCCACCUACCCAGUGAAUGCUGUCUGCAUCCUCACAUCUGACUACAUCCGCAGGGGCUUGAGAUGACCCUAGCUUGUGUCAAGUUGAUAAAACAUUAGCCGGCACAGUCCCCUUCCUGGAGGCAAAUAGGGAAGUAUCCAGCAGGCUCCCAUUUGACAAAGAAGCAAGCGGAAGCCCUAAGCCCAGAGUAAUGUCCUCAGUCAUCGAUACCACUGCAAAAGAAGCUCCCUUGCCCAUAACGGCCAGCGGCAGCACGGAUCAUGGACUUCUACAUGGUUUCCGGUGGCAGCACGGACCACAGACAUCAGCACUGACCAUGGCCAUCAACAUGGUCUCCAGUGGCAGCAUGGACCAUGGAAGCCUUUUGUGGAGAUUUAAUCCAGAAAGCGGACCACUCUUCCUCUUAAGUUGUUGCUCAGAGUCAGGAUGAUUGUGAGGUUGGGCGUUGGUUGGGAUCGUGUCUCGGGUGGUGGUGAUGGGCAGGACCGAUGCAAACUCCAGGCUGCUGUACACUACCCUGCCCUCUUCACUGGCCGCCCUGCGAGUGUCCUCGGGCGUGAGUCUGCAGCCCAGCCACAGCGUGCUCCUUGGUCCUCCACCAUGCCUCUACUUCUGCUUCUCGCCACUACACAUGCCCUCCAUUCCACCAUCUUUCCCAUUUCUCCAUCGCACAUUCAUUUAUUAAGGUGGCACUGCAAUCUGUUGCGUGUCACACAGUGUAUUAUUUUUCCCAAACAGCUUUACAUGCAAAUAUUUAUUGCAACAAAUCACUGAUCUGGUUCAAGGUUUCUGAAGCACCACAAAUACUGGAAUAUCACUGAAACUCAUCUCAGAUAUCCUGCUGUUGCCCAGAGUCACAGGGAGCAGUGUGUCCAGGGCCAGGACCUGUGUGUGGUGGCCUGUCAUGCUUUCCUCCCCUGCAGUGGCAGCGGCGGUGGCGGUGGCUCCGUUUCACAGGCCUUACAUUUUAUUUUGGAAGAUUUAUGUCUGAAUGCAUGUAUAUGUGUCUACCCUAUGUGUGCCUGGUGCGCACAGAGAUCGGAAGAGGGCAUCAGAUCACUUAGAGCUGGAAUUAUAGAUGGUUUUGAGCUUCCGUAUAGGUGCUGGGAACUGAACCUGGGUCUUCUGCACGAGCAGCAAUUGCUCUUAACAGAUGAGACAACUCCCCAGCUCAUAAAAAUUUUAAAACAUUUUAGGGGGGCCAUGCUUACUGUGCACGUGGAGGUCAGAGGGCAUCGUGGGGGUCAGUUCUCUCUUCUCGCUGUGUGAGUUUCAGGGAUUGAACUCAGGUCUCCAAGCUUGGUGGCAAGCACCUUUAUGGUAUGGGCCAUCUCGCUGGACCCUCAAAUUUCCCUUUCACCCAUCUUCUUUUAACCUAAUUCUUUCUUUGGCUGAAUCGAAUCCGUUCUCCAGCCAUCCCUUGCUUUUAAUCUCUAUUACUCAGAGAGAGGAGGGAGGGACAUGUGAGUCAUUUGGAGCAUCAGCCCACAGAUGCGCUGGUGCAGCUGAGCAGGUGGUUCCCAAAGCUUUGGUUCUCCAAUUUCGCAGACUGCAGGGAGCCCUGCGGGCUCUCCAUCCUGACAGGAGGUCCCUGAGAACUAAAGUGGCCAUGUGUGUGGUUCUGGAUGUGGGAUCCUGGAAGGCAGGUGAGACACAGGCCCAUGAACGCAUCUACAAAGAAUGAAUAUUGUAAGCAUACUGAUUCACCGUUUAAUGAUUAAACACCAAAAUCCAAAUGUGUCCAGCACCAUGACCAGUGGGUCAGAAAUACAAUCUCAGUGUGAUUGUUUAUUUACAUAUUAUUGUAUUCUGGGGUCAAGUGCAGCCACUCAGAUGUGCUAGACUAGUGCUCUACCGUUGAGUUGUAUCCUUGGCCUCUGAGUCUCUUCUUUUCUUAGUUUGUUUGUUUUUUGUUUUUUCAAAACAGGGUUG